AAGCCACCAUUGGUACAUGUGAGACACAGGAAGUGAUGUAAAGAACUGCCUUUAUAUUUCCUGUCACUUCCUGUGAGGGGAGCUUUUGCGGACUUGAGCAGUGGAAUUUGACUUGGAGGAGCUCUGAAGCAUGAGUCUAGUAAACCACGUGAUAUCACAGCCUCUGAAGGAACCAAAGGAAAAUGGAAAGACAUAUGGUGGAUGUAAAUAGGAGAUCGAAGAGCUCUCUGAUUCGGAGGAGAGACUGGAAGACAGACACCCAGACUGCUUAUCCUUUUAGAUGGUCACUGUUGGCGAGUGAAAGUCUGACUUAGUGACCCUAUGUUUCUCUCUCUCUGUCUCUGUCUCUGUCUCUGUGUGUGUGUGUGUGUGUGUAUAUCUUCCCUCUAUUGUAAAUAAACUACCAUAA